CGCACCCCUUAGGUAUUAAAUUCAGAUGACGAGGGUAAAUACCGAGAAUAUCCGAAACACAAAGUCUCGCUAAGCCAACUAUAAAACAUUUUCCAAAUUUAUCAUAACAAAAAAUUGGAAUCCGAACUGUCAGACGAUGAGUUUUACAUUUAAAUUCUCAUUGUUACUUUUUUAUCAUAAUGUGUUUCAAUUAUUUUCCAAUUGUUAUUCAAGUUAAUGGAAUAAAUUAAGUAUUUAAAUGUAUUUUUAUAAACUGGGAUUCGUAUUUUUGAAUUUGGUCAUUCCAAGACAAACCUUUUUGCAGCAGUCACUUGUGGAAAUUAACAGCUGACGCAAGGAUCAAAAAAAUAUAUUUGGAUCCCGCAGAUCGAAGUAGAACGUUUUUGAUUAGAGUUAUCAAGGGUUAAUUAAUUAUAAAACAUAACAAUGAAUGCAAAUUCAGAGACUGAUACAAUAAAAUUUAAGUGGAACAUUGAUGAUGUGAUCGGUUUCCCGUCAUGGGUUCACUCGGAGCAUCAAUUCUAUUCAGCUUCUACAGGUCCAGUUGGUUUUGACAUCGGGUUACGUCUUGAUGUUCCUCGUAAAAGAUUACUUAAGCUACGAGUCCGAAAAGACGACUUGAGACCAGUGAAGGCCAGUAUUCAAAUCAAUCAAAUUCACACACCACACAACGUAGGAUUAUCUAAUUUCUAUUCUAGUGUUCUUGAUAAGUCUCCCAUUCUAUCUUCUUCUUAUCUCAAUAACGCAGAACCUUCGGUAACUUGUAUAGGAGCAAAAGAAAAAAAUAGAUGGGAAGAGUUUUUCAUUCUUGAUCUUACAGGCUAUAAAAAUGAACUGUUCAAGACAAUGCCUUAUGGUGAUCGUUAUUUUUAUUUGAAGAUGACGAUUGAGUGCGAAAUAACUUUCAAAGGUUUCAUCAAUGAUCAGCCUACAGAAAUAAAUCCAACGUAUUUUGAGCAAUUUCCCAAAGCAGAUGUCUUUAACGAACCGGAAAAAAUUAUGCCAAUUAAUUUUCAGCCAUUUCUCAACGCGGAUGCAUUCACCGAUGUCACCCUGAAAGUUGAUAAUCUAGAAUUACGAGCACACAAAGUUAUUCUGUCAGCGCACAGUCCGUAUUUUUACGCGAUGCUAACCACCGAUAUGAAGGAAGCCAAAGAAAAUCUUAUUACUAUCGAAAAUUUCUCCAUUAUUGUCAUUAUCGAGAUGCUGAAAUUUUUUUAUACUGGUAAAACAAAGGCAAGUGAUAACACGGACGUUGCUUUGAAAAUGAUUGAGAUAGCAGAGAUGUAUCAGAUCAUAAAGUUGAAAGAAAUUUGUGAGAGCACAUUAAUAAAAAAUAUGAACAUUAAUACUGUUUUGGCUAUUGCGAGUGUUGCUGAUGAUUUAAAUAUAACUCGAUUACGUCAUAAAGCGAUUAAUUUUAUGCUUGUCAACAAAAGCAAAGUUGUAAACCUUUCUGAGUUCAAGGAUUUGUGCCAAAGGAACCCUUUGUUGAUGUUUGAGUUUACGCGCGUUAUUGGACAACUGUGUCAUUGUUUUGUGCAACAACAAAAUUAAUAUAAAAUUUGUGUACUGCGUUUUACGAAAUAUUCUUUAACUGAUGAAUUAUUGUCUUAUCAUUUCUUUUAAAUUCCGUGAAAUUUCGUAAUCACUCAAAUAAUAUUUAUUUAUUUAUUUAUUUAUAUUCAGAAAAUAGGGAUUUUCAUAUUAUAUAUAUAUAGAGGUCAUUCAACCAAAUAAAGUUAUUUUUACGGGGCGACCCUCGUCGAUUUAGUUCAAAGUUUGUGGAGCCGUGCUAUAUAUUCAAUGAAACAUUCUCUGGAAACUUAAGCGUUUAAUAUGCAUCGGUUUCAAAGUUAUAAUUUUUUGAAUUUUUGAAAAAUUUUGUAUGUAUUGCAUUGUAAAAAAUCGGGAGUGAAUUCGGAGUGAUUACGGAUUUUAUUUAAAUUUGAAUUCACUCGGAGUUCUGGAAUUUAAGAAAAAUCACUCCGCUUAUGGAAUAAAUGGGGAGUUUAUUUUUCCAGCGGACUGAUUUUGGAGUAAACUGGAUUUUAUUUAAAUCCGCAUUUACUCUGAUUCGGAGUUUCAAUAUUAAAAUAAACUCCUUGUAGGAUUGAAUUUCACUUUAAGGAGAUUAAAAUACACAGUCAUCUGCUUCGCAUUCACUCCGGAUUUAAUCCGCGUUCACUCCGGAAAUUUUUUUAAAGUGUAUCCUAUUGUUAUUUCUAAUAAAUUCAAUAAUAUUUUGUAAUUACUCAAACAAUAUUCAUUUAUUUAUUGACACAAAUUAACAAAUUUCAUAUUUUAGUAUCUAUUUCUGUAACUUUUUUCUGUGUUUAAUUAUUUUAAAAUUCUAUUCAAAUUAAUUUGAUUUAGAAAUAUUAUCAUCUACUUUUUUAGAUUAAUUAAUUAAUUUAUUUAUUAUAACUUUUAACUCAUCAUAUCUGAUUAUAUUAUAUUAUAUAAUAAAUAUUAAAUUUAUUUAAAGUACGAAAGGUAUUUUUUUUUAUGUGUAAUGAAGUUAAAAUUUGAAAAUACCGCCAUCUUGAAGUAUAAAUUUAAACUAUACUGAAAAAGUGAAAAAAAAAGAGAAGUGUUUCUGAAGUGAAAUAAAAUUUUUAAUUUAUUACCGCGUACGUGCCCAAACAGUUGAGUCUUUAUCGUUCAAGCUCCUCAGCUCCUCUGGCUUACUCAUAUCUUAAGUUUCGUAUUUCAUCGUUACUUUUUUCUUUUGAUUCGUUGUUUCAAUAAAUUCUUAAAUACUCCUAACAAAUUAUUGUUUAAGACAAUAAUAAAUUGAAUUAAUCGGUUUUCUUUAUAAACUGGGAUUUCCAUUGUUAAAUUUGGUUUUUUUCAAGGACAAAUCACUUUGUAGCAGUCACUUUGAAUCACUUGUGGAAGACAGCGCGUCAGCUUUUGCUAGGAUAAAGAAAAGUUAUAUGGCGGAUCAGCAGAACAUCACUAUGAAUCAGGAUUUAAUGGCAUUAAAAAAUGUGUGGGAAAUUGAUGAUGUAAUUGGUUUCAAGUCAUGGAUUAAUUCGGAAUCGCUCUAUAGUGGCGGAUUUGUUUUUGAUCUAGCUUUACGAAGAGUCGAAGGUCAGAAGUUCCUUCAUUUAAGAGUCAGAAAAAAUGACUUGAGAUCAGUAAAUGCUACUGUACAGAUUAAACAAAUUCAAAGUACAGAUUUAAACUUACAAAAAUCUCGAUUUAUAACUGAUUAUAAUGAGGUUCCAUCGUACAUGAAUUCACCGACCUCAACUGUCAUAGGAGAAUCAGAAACAAAUGAUUGGAAACAAUGUUUCAUUUUAAAAAUUGAAAACUAUAAAAAUGAAUCGUCAACAGUUUUGACUAAAAAUAAAAGUUUUAUUCAUAUGAAGAUGACUUUAGAGUGUCAAAUAACUUCGCUGAGUUGUAUUGACGAUAAGUUUGAGAAAAUUAUACCCACAAACUUUAUGCCAUAUCUCGAAGCAAAUUUGUUCAACGAUAUUGUUUUAGUAGUUGAUAACGUAGAAUUACCAGCACACAAAGUUAUUCUGUCAGCGCACAGUCCGCAUUUUCAUAAGAUGCUAACCACCGAGAUGAAAGAAGUCAAAGAAAAUCGAAUUACUAUUGAAAAAUUUCCCCUUGAUGUCAUUACCGAGAUGCUUGAUUUUUUUUAUACCGGAAAAACAAAAGCAAGCAGUGAUGUCGACGUUGCCUUGAAAAUGAUUGAAGUAGCACAGAUGUAUGAAAUCGGCAGUAUGAUAAAAAUUUGUGAGAAUACAAUAACAAAAAACAUAAAUAUCAAUAAUAUUGUAUCUAUUAUAAAAUUGGUUGAUGAUUUAAAUAUAAUCCAGUUACGUAACAAUGCUAUUAAAUUUAUGAGUAAUAACAUAAGUGACCUUGGUAAUCUUUCUGAAUUGAAGAAUUUAUGUAAAAGUAAACCUAUGUUGAUGUAUGAAUUAAUCCGCGUUAUGGGGAAAAAAAAGUCUCCAACAUUCAGUUGCUAGUGAGGUAUGCAAUAUGAUUGUGUUUUUUUGUAUCACCAAAAUAAUCUUAAGUUUUUGUACAACAUUUUUCAAAAUAUUUUUUUACUGGCUGUAUUAUGCUAUUAUCAUUUCCAAUAAAUUUUAUACAUUUUGUAAUCACUCAAACAA